AACCGGACUAGACCGGAGAGCCAGGCACUCUCUGUAACCCGAAGUCUAUAUGCGGGGGCGACUGCCUGAAGAGGCCAACCAGACUUCUGCCAGGCCCUGUGGAAUCAAUGAAACUCUGUCCCUUCGGAUCGUGGGUUUACCUGGUCAGAUUCAAAGGAAACUGGCUGGGUAAUCUGACAGGAGAAUCCGCCAGAACCGGAAGGGGGCAUCGGUAUCCUGGACCAUCGAUGCUGAAGGGGUGCGGGGUAGAGAGGAAUCAGGGGGGACCUGUCAGGACAUCUGGACCGAUUCAGGUGCGUCCGGUA
rnacentral:SRP_RNA from 1 species